ensembl:misc_RNA Metazoa_SRP Metazoan signal recognition particle RNA
GCCAGGUAUGGUGGUGCAUGCCUGUAGUCCCAGCUACCUGGGAGGCUGAGGCUGGAGGAUCACUUGUGCCGAGGAGUUCAAGGCUGCAAUGAGUUACGGUAAACCCACUGCACUCUAGCCUUGGCAACAGAGUGAGACUUUGCCUCUA